UGGGGAAUAUUGGACAAUGGGCGCAAGCCUGAUCCAGCCAUGCCGCGUGAGUGAUGAAGGCCCUAGGGUUGUAAAGCUCUUUCAACGGUGAAGAUAAUGACGGUAACCGUAGAAGAAGCCCCGGCUAACUUCGUGCCAGCAGCCGCGGUAAUACGAAGGGGGCUAGCGUUGUUCGGAUUUACUGGGCGUAAAGCGCACGUAGGCGGAUCGUUAAGUGAGGGGUGAAAUCCCAGGGCUCAACCCUGGAACUGCCUUUCAUACUGGCGAUCUGGAGUUCGAGAGAGGUGAGUGGAAUUCCGAGUGUAGAGGUGAAAUUUCGUAGAUAUUCGGAGGAACACCAGUGGCGAAGGCGGCUCACUGGCUCGAUACUGACGCUGAGGUGCGAAAGCGUGGGGGAGCAAACAGGAUUAGAUACCCUGGUAGUCCACGCCGUAAACGAUGAAUGUUAGCCGUCGGGCAGUAUACUGUUCGGUGGCGCAGCUAACGCAUUAAACA
rnacentral:rRNA from 1 species